rnacentral:lncRNA from 1 species
AAAGAGAAAAAACACAAAGAGAAGGGGAAAACAGAGAAAGUGACGAAACAGAGGGAAAAAAGGACACAGAGAAAGCUACGAGUGUAGAAAAACAGAUGAGAACAAAAAGAGGGCUAAAAAUUAGGAAUAGACAUAAAUAGAUAUUAGAGUGAGGAAUGGUUUUAGGAGGUCAAAAAAAAUCGAGCAGCCUUCUUUUUUUUCACCAUUUUUUUAUUCAAGAAUACUUCAUUUUUCUCACUUAGCUUCCCCAAAUAAGCAUUUUUUACUUCUAAAAUCCAGCAAUGAAAAGCAGCUGAAUCACCAAUAAAAAUAUAGACCAACAGACCCGAAAACACCCCAAACCUCAGCUACAAAAUUCUAUUAAACUCUCAUAAAAAUUAGCGAUAAGAAUCUUCCAAAGUUCCUCCUUAACAAUCAUAAAUCAUCUGAAAGAUGCUAUUAAAGCAGCCCUUUCUCACAAAUAAUAACAAUUCCAAAAUAGCUCCAGCGACUGAGGAUUAGCCAAGGUCGCUUUCGAGGUCGCCAUUGAGGUUGUGGCCGAUCAGUUCUGCUCGGUUUAAAGGCCCCUGUUUUAGUUUUUUGUUCUGUUCAAAUUGUUGUUGCCGGAUGUUCUUGUACUCGCAUCACGAGAAGUUCUUAUAUAUAAAAGUUUCAUCUAAAGAUCCAUUUCCUUCCUAUACAGAAUAUUUGAGUUUCACUUGGCUGAUUUUAUUGAUGUGUUUAAUAUUUGAUUGGUGUUCAUAUUCACUAAGAUGAUUUGUUCAAAGGUGUAAAUUUUUUACAGCAUAUUCUUGUUUUAUCAUUUUGGUCUUGUUUAGUUACAUGAUCCCUUAUUCUUGAUUUACUUAUUUGUUGGAAUAGAGUCGCAUUUU